rnacentral:misc_RNA from 1 species
GAUGAAGAACGUAGCGAAAUGCGAUAAGUAAUGUGAAUUGCAGAAUUCAGUGAAUCAUCGAAUCUUUGAACGCACAUUGCGCCCGCCAGUAUUCUGGCGGGCAUGCCUGUCCGAGCGUCAUUUCAACCAUCAAGCCCCGGGCUUGUGUUGGGGACCUGCGUCCGACGCAGGCCCUGAAAACCAGUGGCGGGCUCGCUGUCCACACCGAGCGUAGUAACUAACCUCGCUAUGGAGUGGCGCGGCGCCUGCCGUAAAACCCCCAAUUUCACAAGGUUGACCUCGGAUCAGGUAGGAAUACCCGCUGAACUUAAGCAUAUCAAUAAGCGGAGGA